rnacentral:rRNA from 1 species
AGUGAACGCUGGCGGUAGGCCUAACACAUGCAAGUCGAACGGCAGCACAGUAAGAGCUUGCUCUUACGGGUGGCGAGUGGCGGACGGGUGAGGAAUACAUCGGAAUCUACUUUUUCGUGGGGGAUAACGUAGGGAAACUUACGCUAAUACCGCAUACGACCUACGGGUGAAAGCAGUGGAUCUUCGGACCUUGCGCGAUUGAAUGAGCCGAUGUCGGAUUAGCUAGUUGGCGGGGUAAAGGCCCACCAAGGCGACGAUCCGUAGCUGGUCUGAGAGGAUGAUCAGCCACACUGGAACUGAGACACGGUCCAGACUCCUACGGGAGGCAGCAGUGGGGAAUAUUGGACAAUGGGCGAAAGCCUGAUCCAGCCAUACCGCGUGGGUGAAGAAGGCCUUCGGGUUGUAAAGCCCUUUUGUUGGGAAAGAAAAGAAGCAGGUUAAAACCCCGCUGUUCUGACGGUACCCAAAGAAUAAGCACCGGCUAACUUCGU